rnacentral:rRNA from 1 species
UACGUAGGGUGCAAGCGUUGUCCGGAAUUAUUGGGCGUAAAGAGCUCGUAGGCGGUUUGUCGCGUCGAAUGUGAAAACCCGGGGCUCAACCCCGGGCCUGCAUUCGAUACGGGCAGACUAGAGUUCGGUAGGGGAGUCUGGAAUUCCUGGUGUAGCGGUGGAAUGCGCAGAUAUCGGGAGGAACACCGGUGGCGAAGGCGGUUCUCUGGGCCUGUACUGACGGCUGAGGAGCGAAAGCGUGGGGAGCGAACAGG